AGAGUUUGAUCCUGGCUCAGGAUGAACGCUGGCGGCGUGCCUAAUACAUGCAAGUCGAACGAUGAUGCUGGUGCUUGCACUGGUGGAUUAGUGGCGAACGGGUGAGUAACACGUGGGUAACCUGCCCCUGACUUCGGGAUAAGCCCGGGAAACUGGGUCUAAUACCGGAUAUGACUUCCUGCUGCAUGGCAGGGGGUGGAAAGAUUUAUCGGUUGGGGAUGGACUCGCGGCCUAUCAGCUUGUUGGUGAGGUAAUGGCUCACCAAGGCGACGACGGGUAGCCGGCCUGAGAGGGUGACCGGCCACACUGGGACUGAGACACGGUCCAGACUCCUACGGGAGGCAGCAGUAGGGAAUAUUGCACAAUGGGCGAAAGCCUGAUGCAGCGACGCCGCGUGAGGGAUGACGGCCUUCGGGUUGUAAACCUCUUUCAGUAGGGAAGAAGCCCCUUUUGGGGGUGACGGUACUUGCAGAAGAAGCGCCGGCUAACUACGUGCCAGCAGCCGCGGUAAUACGUAGGGCGCAACGUUAUCCGGAUUUAUUGGGCGUAAAGAGCUCGUAGGCGGUUUGUCGCGUCUGCCGUGAAAGUCCGAGGCUCAACCUCGGAUCUGCGGUGGGUACGGGCAGACUAGAGUGAUGUAGGGGAGACUGGAAUUCCUGGUGUAGCGGUGAAAUGCGCAGAUAUCAGGAGGAACACCGAUGGCGAAGGCAGGUCUCUGGGCAUUUACUGACGCUGAGGAGCGAAAGCAUGGGGAGCGAACAGGAUUAGAUACCCUGGUAGUCCAUGCCGUAAACGUUGGGCACUAGGUGUGGGGGACAUUCCACGUUUUCCGCGCCGUAGUAACGCAUUAAGUGCCCCGCCUGGGGAGUACGGCCGCAAGGCUAAAACUCAAAGGAAUUGACGGGGGCCCGCACAAGCGGCGGACAUGCGGAUUAAUUCGAUGCAACGCGAAGAACCUUACCAAGGCUUGACAUGUGCCAGACCGGAUCAGAGAUGGUCUUUCCCCUUUCGGGGCUGGUUCACAGGUGGUGCAUGGUUGUCGUCAGCUCGUGUCGUGAGAUGUUGGGUUAAGUCCCGCAACGAGCGCAACCCUCGUUCCAUGUUGCCAGCGGGUUAUGCCGGGGACUCAUGGGAGACUGCCGGGGUCAACUCGGAGGAAGGUGGGGAUGACGUCAAAUCAUCAUGCCCCUUAUGUCUUGGGCUUCACGCAUGCUACAAUGGCCGGUACAAUGGGUUGCGAUACUGUGAGGUGGAGCUAAUCCCUAAAAGCCGGUCUCAGUUCGGAUUGGGGUCUGCAACUCGACCCCAUGAAGUCGGAGUCGCUAGUAAUCGCAGAUCAGCAACGCUGCGGUGAAUACGUUCCCGGGCCUUGUACACACCGCCCGUCAAGUCACGAAAGUUGGUAACACCCUAAGUCGUAAC
rnacentral:rRNA from 1 species